rnacentral:rRNA from 1 species
UCUCAUGCUGGAGUGCCGAGAGCUGGAAACGUUCCGGCGCUGUAGGAUGUGGCUGCGGCCGAUUAGGUAGAUGGCGGGGUAACGGCCCACCAUGCCAAUAAUCGGUACAGGUUGUGACAGCAAGAGCCUGGAGACGGUAUCUGAGACAAGAUACCGGGCCCUACGGGGCGCAGCAGGCGCGAAACCUUUACACUGCACGACAGUGCGAUAGGGGGACUCCGAGUGCGAGGGCAUAUAGUCCUCGCUUUUCUGAACCGUAAGGUGGUUCAGGAACAAGGACUGGGCAAGACCGGUGCCAGCCGCCGCGGUAAUACCGGCAGUCCAAGUGAUGGCCGAUAUUAUUGGGCCUAAAGCGUCCGUAGCCUGCUGUGUAAGUCCGUUGGGAAAUCGGCCAGCUCAACUGGCCGGCGUCCAGCGGAAACUACACGGCUUGGGGCCGAGAGACUUGACGGGUACGUCCGGGGUAGGAGUGAAAUCCUGUAAUCCUGGACGGACCACCAAUGGGGAAACCACGUCAAGAGACCGGACCCGACGGUGAGGGACGAAAGCUAGGGUCUCGAACCGGAUUAGAUACCCGGGUAGUCCUAGCUGUAAACAAUGCCUGCUAGGUAUGUCACGCGCCAUGAGCACGUGAUGUGCCGUAGUGAAGA